rnacentral:sRNA from 1 species
UAGAACCCCGACAAGAGAGCCCCGAAAGG